rnacentral:rRNA from 1 species
UGCUUUACACAUGCAAGUCGAACGGCAGCACGGGUGCUUGCACCUGGUGGCGAGUGGCGAACGGGUGAGUAAUGCAUCGGAACGUAUCCAAGAGUGGGGGAUAACGCAUCGAAAGGUGUGCUAAUACCGCAUACGCCCUGAGGGGGAAAGUGGGGGACCGUAAGGCCUCACGCUGAUGGAGCGGCCGAUGUCAGAUUAGCUAGUUGGUGAGGUAAAGGCUCACCAAGGCGACGAUCUGUAGCUGGUCUGAGAGGAUGAUCAGCCACACUGGGACUGAGACACGGCCCAGACUCCUACGGGAGGCAGCAGUGGGGAAUUUUGGACAAUGGGGGCAACCCUGAUCCAGCCAUGCCGCGUGAGUGAAGAAGGCCUUCGGGUUGUAAAGCUC